GCCCUCGUAGUUCAACGGAUAGAACAAGGGACUCCUAAGCCUUAGAUGUAGGUUCAAUUCCUACCGAGGGCACUA
rnacentral:tRNA from 2 species